AUGGAUGUUUCAUUGCCCCCAGAUGUCAUCCGGCAGCACAUUUUCCCGUAUCUACCAGCCAUCGACAUUCUUCGAUGUAGAUCAAUUGGGACGGCCUGGAAUCUUGCAUAUCUACAAGUAGAUCCCCAGUUUCAAUUGUCAGAGGUUCAGCCUACUCAAGGUGGCAGCAAACCAGUAGGUUUCCUUUUGAGGACAGACCAAGAUCAAGCCAGAGCAACAAGGGGCACUACCAUUCUCAGGUGUUUCAGAAAGCUAAACCAGUCUUUUGCUGGACGCAAUGCCAAGAUCGUUGCUAGCAGUGGUGGUUUGUACUGUGUUUACCUCAGCGAUCCUCUAGAGUUCUUGGUCACCAACUUACUGGGAAAUGUGCACAUUAACCUAAACAUUCCCAUCCAAGAAGAGGAUACCAACUGUGUCGGUAUGGCUGCUUUUCCAGAAGGAGGAGUUGCAGUUGCUGAGUAUUUGGUGGUAAUACCAUUCAGGCCGGCCUAUCUGAACCAAGGUGCAGACGCCGAUCCAGCAAUAAGGUUCAUGAUCUGGGGUUCUCAAGGCAGAGACUGGGACCAGCCGCUACACGCUCAGCAAUGGCUUAAUCACCCGCAAGUGCUUCAUCUGGGAGGCUGGAACCCUAAGAAUGUUGCUCAGAUAGGAACUUCAAUCUAUUUCCACCUCUCUGAGAAUGACCUAAUUUGCUUUGAUUUGCAAGGAGGAGAUUCAGAGCACAUAGACCUUUCUGUGCAACUCCUGGAAACAGCACAGAUGGCCCUUUGCAUUUGGAAUGGCCAAUUGUGCUUCAUGAGUCUGCUUUCAACCGAUGUUCAGAUAUAUGUCCUUCAGCAUAACCAGUGGAUUAUGGCUCAUGAAAUAGGAUUGCUCAACCAUAUUGAGGAAUACAGAUAUGUGUUCAGAAGCUUAACAAUGACACUCCGCAACAGAGCUGUGGAAACGCCAGCAGAAGCAAUGGAAGGGGCAACAGUUGUGGGAUAUGCAGAGCCUAAUUGGCUUCUUCUCAGGCAAAGGGGGAGAUUCAUUAUCAUGAACGAAGAGAUGAUGCUACAGGGGAACGAAGAUGGAAGGCCAAGAAGGGUCAUGCUAAACAAUGCUCGAGGAAAUUUCUUCAUGAGCCACUGCAGUAGUUUUGUCCAGGUUAUCUGA
rnacentral:rRNA from 1 species